ACUGGGCGUAAAGAGUUGCGUAGGUGGCAUAGUAUGUCAGUAGUGAAAGCGUGUGGCUCAACCAUAUACACAUUACUGAAACUGCUAAGCUAGAGGACGAGAGAGGUUAUUGGAAUUCCUAGUGUAGGAGUGAAAUCCGUAGAUAUUAGGAGGAACACCGAUGGCGUAGGCAGAUAACUGGCUCGUUCCUGACACUAAGGCACGAAAGCGUGGGGAGCAAACGGGAUUAGAUACCCCGGUAGUCCACGCCGUAAACGAUGGAUGCUAGCUGUUAUAGGUAUCGACCCCUGUAGUAGCGAAGCUAACGCGUUAAGCAUCCCGCCUGUGGAGUACGGUCGCAAGACUAAAA
rnacentral:rRNA from 1 species